UACGUAGGGUGCAAGCGUUAAUCGGAAUUACUGGGCGUAAAGCGUGCGCAGGCGGUUGUGCAAGAACCGAUGUGAAAUCCCCCGGGCUCAACCUGGGAACUGCAUUUGUGACUGCAUAGCUAGAGUACGGUAGAGGGGGAUGGAAUUCCGCGUGUAGCAGUGAAAUGCGUAGAUAUGCGGAGGAACACCGAUGGCGAAGGCAAUCCCCUGGACCUGUGACUGACGCUCAUGCACGAAAGCGUGGGGAGCAAACAGG
rnacentral:rRNA from 1 species